AGCCACGCAGUGAGCGCAGAGUGAACUAUUCUUUCGCCUUUUACUAAAGACAAUCGUGUGUGUGCUGCAAAUCGUGGCAUACACCUAUUGUUGGAGGGGUUCUCUAUAUUGAGUGCC